rnacentral:lncRNA from 1 species
AGCCUAGACUCGCCGAGUAGGAUCGCAGACUUGGUCGCGGGAUCGCGACUGGACUCGACGAGUCCAGGUAUGGACUCGGCGAGUCGACGCUGUUUAGCGGAAACCCUAACCGUUCAGGUUUGGGACGUAUAAAAGGGACUCAUUGGCCGUCAUUGUUCGUUUUAGCCUUCUGAGAAGAACCCUAAAUCGAUUGGGUGCAGCUGGAGCAAGGAUCUUAGGCCAUUGUUGGUUAUAGAAGAGUGGUUGUGCAAGGAAGAGAAAGGAUUUGGCUAAAGGAGCAGCAAGGGGUCACAUUCUGAGGAUUGGGAAUACAGAGAAUACAUCAUCCAGGUAAGAAUUCGUGUAUGCUCUGCUAUAUUGAUGUAUUUAUGAAAUUAGGGUUUAUAGAACCCAUUUAGUGAUUAGAUGAAGUAGUGCCUUGUUACCCAACGACUAUAAUCUUGUAGUAGGACCUUUAGAGGUCCAGAAGGUCCCAUGCAUGUGUAUUUCGGGACGAGACCUAUCUCAGGAAGCAGUUUGAUCGACUGCAUGGCGUGGACUCGCCGAGUCCGAUGAACAGACUCGGCGAGUAGCUUGAAGAUUUACUGGGACUCGCCGAGUUGUUCUUCAGACUCGGCGAGUGGAGUCGGGGUGGCCCCGCGAUUCUUCCAGGAGUAACUCGUCGGGUCGAGGAGGGUACUCGACGAGUAGAUAAGGAAUCUCAGAAAGUUGGAGGACGUCUAGACUCGCCGAGUCGCCAUGGUACUCGCCGAGUCCGGUCGAGUUGACAGUUGACCGUUGACCAGAGUUGACCUAAGUCUGACUUCUUAGGGAUAGUCACACUUAGAAGAUAUAAGUAUUAAUGAGAUAUGUAAUGUUAUAGGGAGGUUGUAGCUCGUCGGUUGUGCACGAGUCAUUUCGGGAUUUGCUAGCGUUCAGCUUUUACGAGGUGAGUCUUCUCACUAUACUGUACCCGGAAGGGUUUGACUGUGUGACCGGAAGGUCGGAUAUGAUAUGUGAUAUGUAUGCUAUAUGUGGUAAGUUAUUUGUUAUAUGUGCUAUGUAUGUUAUGGGCCGGAAGGCGAUUAUAUUAUGGGCCGGAAGGCAAUAUGUUAUGGGCCGGAAGGCGAUAUGUUGUGUGAUGGACCGGAAGGUCGGCGUGGGUAAGGCCGGAAGGUUUACCCAGCAGGGACGGAAGUCCCCUGAGACACAUGGACCGGAAGGUCGGGCCUGGAAAGGCGUAUGUGCGUAAGUUGUAUAUUGGGGAACUCACUAAGCAUUUAUGCUUACAGUUGUUGUGCAUGUAUUUCAGGUACUAGCGAGGACCGUGGGAAGGCGCCGGCAUGAUCGAUACACACUGAAGAUUGUUUUAUGAUCUUGGGAGUUUGAAUAAUUGUAUUGACCGAAUAAUUAAACUGUUUAUGCCUUGUUUUUAAUGGAAAUAAUUAUGUUUUAAAAAUGAAAAAUUUGUUUGAAAAAUUUGAGUUGUUACAAUUGGUAUCAGAGCCUUGGUUUGAGGGAUUCGGGUGCACCUUCGGGGGUAACUGAACUCAAACCGAGGAUUUGAGGAAACUUUUCAAAUAAAGGCAUAAACUUUUGUAAAUGGUUUUGUGGUAAGCAAGAAAGAAGCAGUGUGUACGAUCAGUCAGCGCCCGAACGGUAAAGAUCCCCAAAAUACCUUACAAUAUUAUAUGAUAUGAAUUGUUAUGCAUGCUAGAAGACUAGGUAUUCAUGAUAGGACUAGAGUGGCCUGAUUUGUGAUGCCUUAGUCUAGGGAAGUUGCCUAUAUGAGAUGCUUUGCUAGUAUGCGGGUAGAUAGAGCGUAUCAGAAGUAGAGUACUCACUAUCUGGAGUUUGGGGAGGAGGACUUGGGAUGAACAUUGAUGCGGUGUGGUCGGUAGUAUUGGGCCCGUACUACCGAGGACACCGGGUCAGUGGGAGGCCCAAGUAAGAAUCCCUGGAUAUCUGGGACUGAGUAGGGUUGCGUGUCGAGUACGAUUAUACUCGGUAGAAUCUCUGAUAGUUUUAUGUUGUAUUUCAGAGAUAUCAUGGUUAGACCGCGGCACGGGGCAAGUACGAGCGGUGUGAGUGACGAGGAUAUUCGUCAGAUGAUCCACGAGGAGGUGGCGGCGGCGAUCCGGGCUGAGAUCCCGGAGAUGUUUGGGUCUAUCAAGACCACCCUGAUGGAGACGUUCGACGAGCGGUACGCCGCAUUGACUGAGGCUGCAACCGCUGCAGCUACCGCAGCUGUGGCCGCUGCUAGGCCACAGGGGGGUGAUUCAUUGCUGUUCCGAGAGUUCAGCAACACGAAGCCACCAGAGUUCGAUGGGACGCAGGAUCCGAUUGCUGCGAUGAGGUGGAUCGCAGAUAUAGAGGGGUGCUUCUAUACUUGUUCAUGCCCGGAGCACCUGAGGGUACGGUUCGCUUUGAACCAGCUCCGUCUGGGAGCGAAGGACUGGUGGAAGUUCGUGACAGCGAAUUUCACUUUGGCAGAGACUACAGCGGUGACAUGGGAGGGGUUUACUGCCAUGUUCAGGGAUGAGUACGUUCCCCCGGUGGAGAGGGAACGAUUGGUGCAGGAGUUCUUAACCCUCAAGCAGGGUACCGAUUCUGUUGCGGUGAUUACACGGAAGUUUCAUGAGAGGGCGAUGUUUUGCCCUGAGCUGGUGUCCUCAGAGCAGGCUCGGAUGAGCCGAUACUUGGGUGUCUUGAGGAGGGAUAUUCGGGAGUUUGUGUCAAACUCCACUUACCAUACUUUUGCUGAGCUUCAGGCGAAUGCCAGGAAGCGCGAGAUCGAGUUGGAGACCCAGGCUAGGGAGGAGGCCGAGUCUCAGCGGGUGGAUCGGCGACCGGCUCAGUUCCAGCCGGCAGCCAAGCGGACCAAGUCCGCUGAUUCGAGGACAGGAGGUUCGAAGGGUCGCACUUGCGGGAAGUGCGGCAAGAGUCAUGAUGGAGUAUGUCGAUCUGGUGCUUGCUACAAGUGUGGCAAGGAGGGGCACAUUGCUAGGGAGUGCCCCAAGGGAUUUUCGGUUUGCUUUCAUUGCAACCAGACUGGCCAUAGGAAGGCCGAGUGCCCUCAGCUUCUUCAGGGAUCUGCACCUGCUGCCGGAGUUACUGCGACUCGACCGGUGAAGGCCGAGGCCCCGAGGGCUCGGGGAAGAGCCUUUCAGCUGACAGCGGAAGAGGUCCGCGCUGCGCCCGAUGUUGUGGCAGGUAUGUUGUAAUUCAUGUAAUUAUUUUAAUGUCGAUAUGUUAUGCUUAUGUUAUUAUGCGCGUAGGUACUUUCCUUGUGAACUCUGUGCCUGCCUUAGUGUUAUUUGACUCGGGUGCGAGUAGGUCCUUUGUGUCCUUGGCCUUUAGUCAGCAUAUUGGCGUUAGUCGUGAGUCGUUGAGUCGACCUUUGAGAGUCUCUAUAGCUGACGAGAAGGUGAUUUGUGCUACGGAGGUUCUUCGGGGAUGUGUACUAGAGAUUUUCGGGGUUGGAUUCCCGAUUGACCUGAUUCCUAUCGCGAUGGGGGAUGUCUGUGUCAUCGUGGGCAUGGACUGGUUGAGCCGGUUCGGCGCUGUCAUCGACUGUGAGCGUCAGUUGGUGACUAUACGAGACCCUAGUGGGGGAGUUCUUUCGGUAUACGGCGAGGGUACCCGUUCGGGAUCAGCUUUUUGUUCGGCCGCUAGGGCGAGGCAGUGUCUACGGCAGGGCUGUAAGGGUUUCGUGGCGUAUGUGAUGGAUACGCGGGAGGUUUCUGAGAAACCGAAGUCAGUUGAGGAAGUUCCGGUGGUGCGCGAGUUUUCAGAUGUCUUUCCCGAGGAGUUGCCGGGAGUACCGCCUGUGAGGCAAGUAGAGUUUAGUAUCGAUCUGGUUCCGGGGGCAGCGCCUAUUGCUAAAGUGCCCUAUCGUCUUGCACCUCCAGAGAUGCAAGAGUUGUCCUCGCAACUCCAGGAGUUGCUGGGAAAGGGAUUCAUUCGGCCGAGCAGCUCGCCAUGGGGAGCACCUAUUCUGUUCGUCAAGAAGAAGGAUGGUUCACACCGGAUGUGCAUUGAUUACCGGGAGUUGAACAAGCUAACGGUCAAGAACCGUUACCCGUUGCCGAGGAUCGAUGAUUUAUUCGAUCAGUUGCAGGGAGCAUCUUGGUUUUCCAAGAUCGAUCUGAGGUCAGGAUACCAUCAGGUGAGAGUACGGGAUGAGGACGUCCAGAAGACAGCGUUUAGGACGCGAUAUGGGCAUUAUGAGUUUGUGGUGAUGCCUUUUGGACUCACCAAUGCCCCGGCUGUGUUCAUGGAUCUCAUGAACAGGGUAUGCAGGCCGAUGUUGGAUCGGUCAGUGAUUGUAUUUAUCGACGACAUUCUGGUGUAUUCGAGAUCUAGAGAGCAGCAUGAGGAGCAUUUGAGGGAGGUCCUUGAGGUAUUGAGGUCGGAGAAGCUUUAUGCAAAGUUCUCCAAAUGUGACUUCUGGUUGCGGGAGGUCCAGUUUCUAGGACAUGUGGUUAAUCAGAAAGGGAUAUUGGUCGAUCCGGCCAAGGUUGAGGCGGUGAUGAGUUGGGAGGUGCCGAAGUCACCCUCUGAGAUCAGAAGUUUCCUUGGGUUGGCAGGGUAUUAUCGGAGAUUUAUCAAGGAUUUCUCCAAGAUCGCAGUGCCACUCACCAGAUUGACCCGGAAGGGUGUUACAUUCUCAUGGGGGCCCGAGCAGCAGACCUCCUUUGAGACACUUCGCCAGAGAUUGUGCGAAGCCCCGGUAUUAGCUCUCCCAGAAGGGAUGGAAGAUUUCGUGGUAUAUUGCGACGCAUCGAUUUCGGGAUUGGGUGCAGUGUUGAUGCAGAGGGGUCAUGUGAUAGCUUAUGCGUCGAGGCAGCUGAAGCCUCAUGAGGCGAGAUAUCCCACGCAUGAUUUAGAGUUGGGGGCAGUAGUGUUCGCUCUCAAGAUUUGGCGUCACUACUUGUAUGGGGUUCGAUGUACGAUAUACACGGACCAUAAGAGUUUGAAGUAUUUGAUGGAUCAACCCAACCUAAAUAUGCGUCAGAGGAGGUGGUUGGAUGUGGUCAAGGAUUAUGAUUGUGAGAUCCUGUACCACCCAGGCAAGGCUAAUGUGGUAGCCGAUGCAUUGAGCCGCAGGGCGGAGAGCACUCCAUUGCGAGACGUAUGCUUGAGACUGACUGUGAUGACUCCAGUAUUGGACGCUAUUCGUGGGGCCCAGGCAGAGGCUGUGCGACCAGAAAUGCAGAAGAAAGAGCGGGUUGUGGGGUUAAUCUCAGAGUUUGUCAAGGAUAGUCGAGGCCUUAUGACGUUUCAGGGUCGGAUUUGGGUGCCGUUCGUGGGCGGUACGCGUAUUACGUUGAUGGAAGAGGCUCAUAAAUCGAAAUUCUCGAUCCAUCCCGGUGCUACAAAGAUGUAUUUGGAUCUAAGGAAGGAAUAUUGGUGGCCCUGUAUGAAGAGGGACGUGGCAUGGUUCGUUGAGAGGUGCUUGACCUGCCGUAGGGUUAAGGCUGAGCACCAGAGACCGCAUGGCAAGUUACAGCCAUUGGAGAUCCCCGAGUGGAAGUGGGAACAGAUCACUAUGGAUUUUAUCACCAAAUUGCCAAGGACUGCUAGGGGAGUUGACGCAAUUUGGGUGAUUGUGGAUAGGUUGACGAAGAGUGCACACUUCCUUGCCAUCAGUGAGAGUUCUUCAGCGGAAAAGUUGGCGGAGAUAUACGUGAAAGAGGUGGUAUCUCGGCACGGGGUGCCGAUCUCGAUUGUGUCAGACCGCGAUGUGCGCUUCACUUCCAGGUUCUGGAAGAAAUUCCAUGAGGAGCUGGGUACUAAAUUGCAUUUUAGUACCGCAUACCAUCCCCAGACAGACGGUCAGAGCGAGCGGACAAUUCAGACACUGGAGGACAUGCUCCGAGCGUGUGUGUUAGACUUCGGGGGUAGUUGGGAUGCGUAUUUACCAUUGGCAGAGUUUUCCUACAACAACAGCCAUCAUUCGAGCAUUGGUAUGCCGCCUUUCGAGCUGUUGUAUGGUAGGAGGUGUCGGACUCCCAUUUGCUGGGGAGAGGUGGGACAGAGAGUGAUGGGCAGCACGGAGAUCAUACUCCAGACGACAGAGCAGAUUCAGCAAGUGAGACAAAGGUUAUUGACUGCCCAGAGCCGACAGAAGAGUUAUGCAGACAGGCGCCGAUCCGAGCUUGAAUUUCAGGUCGGCGACUUCGUUCUCCUGAAGGUCUCUCCUUGGAAAGGAGUGAUUCGGUUCAGGAAGAGAGGCAAGUUGGGGCCCCGGUAUAUUGGGCCAUUUCGUGUGAUUGCAAGGAUAGGUCGGGUAGCCUAUCGGUUGGAAUUGCCAGCGGAGUUGGGUCAGAUCCAUGACACUUUUCAUGUGUCGCAGUUGAGGAAGUGCAUAGCCGAUGAGUCGGCAGUGGUUCCAUUGGAGGAUAUUCAGGUGGAUGCGAGCCUGAAUUACGCGGAGAGACCAGUGGCGAUCAGAGAUCGGAAGAUCAAGGUUCUGAGGAACAAGGAGGUACCCUUGGUGUUGGUUCAAUGGCAACACCGUAAGGGAUCGGAAAUGACUUGGGAACCGGAACGCGAGAUGCGGGAGCAGCAUCCGGAACUAUUUGCAGAGUGAGACUUCGAGGGCGAAGUCUAAUCCAAGUGGGGGAGAGUUGUAACAGCCCGAAAUCUCAGGUAUUAUUAAAUUAUGUUUUUGGGUGAUUUAAGAGGGGACUCGGCGAGUUGGAGCCUAGACUCGCCGAGUAGGAUCGCAGACUUGGUCGCGGGAUCGCGACUGGACUCGACGAGUCCAGGUAUGGACUCGGCGAGUCGACGCUGUUUAGCGGAAACCCUAACCGUUCAGGUUUGGGACGUAUAAAAGGGACUCAUUGGCCGUCAUUGUUCGUUUUAGCCUUCUGAGAAGAACCCUAAAUCGAUUGGGUGCAGCUGGAGCAAGGAUCUUAGGCCAUUGUUGGUUAUAGAAGAGUGGUUGUGCAAGGAAGAGAAAGGAUUGGCUAAAGGAGCAGCAAGGGGUCACAUUCUGAGGAUUGGGAAUACAGAGAAUACAUCAUCCAGGUAAGAAUUCGUGUAUGCUCUGCUAUAUUGAUGUAUUUAUGAAAUUAGGGUUUAUAGAACCCAUUUAGUGAUUUGAUGAAGUAGUGCCUUGUUACCCCACGACUAUAAUCUUGUAGUAGGACCUUUAGAGGUCCAGAAGGUCCCAUGCAUGUGUAUUUCGGGACGAGACCUAUCUCAGGAAGCAGUUACUCGUCUGCAUGGCAUGGACUCGCCGAGUUGUUCUUCAGACUCGGCGAGUAGCUUGAAGAUUUACUGGGACUCGCCGAGUUGUUCUUCAGACUCGGCGAGUGGAGUCGGGGUGGCCCCGCGAUUCUUCCAGGAGUAACUCGUCGGGUCGAGGA